rnacentral:piRNA from 1 species
AGAAUGUUCACACACACAAUCUCCAGUCAGC